CCUACGGGGGGCAGCAGUAGGGAAUCUUCCGCAAUGGACGAAAGUCUGACGGAGCAACGCCGCGUGAGCGAAGAAGGUCUUCGGAUCGUAAAGCUCUGUUGUCAGGGAAGACAAGUGCCGUUCGAACAGGGC
rnacentral:rRNA from 1 species